CUUUCCCUCCAGGUGAGGUCACUUUCCUUCCUGCCAGCUCAGAAGCAAGCCCUGCUAGAGACCAGGGACGCCUGAGGGGUUCUGCAGUCACCAUGCUCUGGCCAUCCAACCUGAAGACAGUCUUCGCCCUCUGUGUCUCUCUUGCCUUCCUGGUCACCACUGUGGAGAGCUAUGAGUGUAUAAGCUGCUCCGGGGA